GAUGAAGAACGCAGCGAAAUGCGAUACGUAAUGUGAAUUGCAGAAUUCAGUGAAUCAUCGAAUCUUUGAACGCACAUUGCGCCCGCCAGCACUCUGGCGGGCAUGCCUGUUCGAGCGUCAUUUCAACCAUCAAGCCCCAGGCUUGCGUUGGAGCCCUGCUGCUGCCGCAGCCUCCUAAAAGCAGUGGCGGGCUCGCUAUCACACCGAGUGCAGUAGAUUACUCUUCGCUCAGGGCGUGCAGCGGGUUCCGGCCGUGAAACCCCCUACUUUUAAAGGUUGACCUCGGAUCAGGUAGGAAUACCCGCUGAACUUAAGCAUAUCAAUAAGCGGAGGA
rnacentral:misc_RNA from 1 species